GGCAAGAUGGCCGAGCGGUCUAAGGCGCAGCACUCAAGCGAAAGCUUAAAAGGAUCACCCUUUACACUUUGCUGUAUCGAAAGAUGCGUGGGUUCGAAUCCCACUCUUGUCA